CACGGUCUUCGUUAAUGCUAAUAAGCGUCCGUCAGAUCAGUAGGCGAAACGCAAUAUCCGCACAAUAAGAUGUCUGCGACCCGAAAGAAUAUUCAAAGUAAGCUGUUAAUUUUGUUGCGUCAGAAGCUAAUCAGCCGGUAACGUGACUACACUGAUAUAAUUUGUGAUACAAACAUGCUUUAUUCAAUACUGAGUAGCAUUUUUAAACGGCGACAUUUUGAACAUUUUUAUAUUUAGAGUGAGAGUGGAUACACGUUACACUGGCGCCGACAUUUUGAAAAUUUGAGGAAACAAAAACAUUCUCCAAGGAGUUCUUCAGCUCGGGGAAUGAGAGAAUAGAUUCACCUUUGUGUCGCUUUUCAGAUCGUAUUUUAAUUCCUUUCCGGUACUUUAGUUUCUUUGAACUUCUCUUUUACUAAGCCAGUAUCCUGAAUUUUUAAAAUUAAGAAAUCCGUGAUUUUACUUGCAGGCAUGACUGAUUAAUGGAAUUAUUUUACUUUUAUAUAGAAUAUGGACGGCACUCCAGUACAGCAUGUGCAUGGUUGGACCUGUUGACAUUUUUAGAAACGCAUCUUGGUAUAUUAUACAGAGUAUUGUUGUACUGCUCCAAAGUGCUUGUUGACAGACUGAAACCACUUGUUUGCGGCUCAUAAGGUUCACUUCUUUAGAGCAGGCAGCUACAAAAUGGAAGGUCAACAAAUACAGUAUACUUGAAAAGCCAGAAAGAAACACCAGAAAAUAUAAAAAGACAGAAGAACAAGGGAACUUUAAUAAAAAAAAAACUUUUAAGGAUAGGAAUUCAGGAUUUACUUAGAAACUAAAUUUAUUUUGAGAACAGCAGUGUUUGACUAAGCUCUGUUACUUUAAAAGAUAAUGUAUUAUCACAUUGGUUUUGUUAUUGUCGAGCCCGCUUGCGGAAGCGAAGACAUAGUUGUCCAAAUGUCUAUGGGACGUAUUACUGGAACGCCCCUGGCAGGCGUGAGAGCGGGCGGCGUCCACAGACCUUGUCCGGAGCAUAUCUUCUACAUGCAUGGAGGAAUUUUAAUGAAACUUGGCACAGUUGUUCACCAUCAUGAGACGAAGUGUCAUGCGCAAGAACCAGGUCCCUAGGUCUAAGGUCAAGGUGACACUUAGAGGUUAAAGGUCAAAUUCAAGAAUGACUGUCUGGAGCAUAUCUUCUUCAUGCAUGGAGGGAUUUUGAUUAAAGUUGGCACAAUUGUUCAUCAUCAUGAGACGGAGUGUCAUGCGCAAAAACCAGGU